UGAAUUGACGAUGGAUCACCAGUGAGUGGCGGACGGGUGAGUAACACGUAGGUAACCYGCCCCGGAGCGGGGGAUAACAUUUGGAAACAGAUGCUAAUACCGCAUAACAAYAAAAGCCRCAUGGYUUUURUUUGAAAGAUGGCUUUGGCUAUCACUCUGGGAUGGACCUGCGGUGCAUUAGCUAGUUGGUAAGGUAACGGCUUACCAAGGCRAUGAUGCAUAGCCGAGUUGAGAGACUGAUCGGCCACAAUGGAACUGAGACACGGUCCAUACUCCUACGGGAGGCAGCAGUAGGGAAUCUUCCACAAUGGGCGCAAGCCUGAUGGAGCAACACCGCGUGAGUGAAGAAGGGUUUCGGCUCGUAAAGCUCUGUUGUUGGAGAAGAAYRUGCGUGAGAGUAACUGUUCACGCAGUGACGGUAUCCAACCAGAAAGUCACGGCUAACUACGUGCCAGCAGCCGCGGUAAUACGUAGGUGGCAAGCGUUAUCCGGAUUUAUUGGGCGUAAAGCGAGCGCRGGCGGUUGCUUAGGUCUGAUGUGAAAGCCUUCGGCUUAACCGAAGAAGUGCAUCGGAAACCGGGCGACUUGAGUGCAGAAGAGGACAGUGGAACUCCAUGUGUAGCGGUGGAAUGCGUAGAUAUAUGGAAGAACACCAGUGGCGAAGGCGRCUGUCUGGUCUGCAACUGACGCUGAGGCUCGAAAGCAUGGGUAGCGAACAGGAUUAGAUACCCUGGUAGUCCAUGCCGUAAACGAUGAGUGCUAGGUGUUGGAGGGUUUCCGCCCUUCAGUGCCGGAGCUAACGCAUUAAGCACUCCGCCUGGGGAGUACGACCGCAAGGUUGAAACUCAAAGGAAUUGACGGGGGCCCGCACAAGCGGUGGAGCAUGUGGUUUAAUUCGAAGCUACGCGAAGAACCUUACCAGGUCUUGACAUCUUGCGCUAACCUUAGAGAUAAGGCGUUCCCUUCGGGGACGCAAUGACAGGUGGUUCAUGGUCGUCG
rnacentral:rRNA from 1 species